UGUGCUACAUGUCUGGAGAGAGCCAGAUAU
rnacentral:piRNA from 1 species